rnacentral:lncRNA from 1 species
AUGUUGUGAAAAGGAGAAUGUGAAAAGAGGACAAUGGACUCCUGAAGAAGACAACAAAUUGGCUUCUUACAUUGCUCAACACGGUACUCGUAAUUGGCGUCUCAUCCCUAAAAACGCUGGUAAAAUUAAUUUGCACUUCUUUAAUCAAGUAGGAAUAGUCUUAUAAAGAUCUGAUUAUCCAUCACUCUGCUGAAUAUUUCAAGACAAACUUUUAAAAACAAACAAAUGUUUGUUAAGGUAAAGAUUUGGUUUUAUAAUGUACAUACAUAUAAAUGAGCUGGUGAAAAUUUGUUUUUGUAGGAUUGCAGAGAUGUGGGAAGAGUUGUAGACUAAGAUGGACGAACUAUUUGCGUCCUGACCUGAAACACGGACAGUUUUCUGACGCUGAAGAACAUAUCAUUGUCAAGUUUCACUCUGUUCUUGGUAACAGGUAUGACCUUCUUUAUAUACCAUCUCUCUUAUGAUCAUAAUAUUUUCUGUACGUUCCAUUUUCUUGGAUGUAGAAAAUUAAUGAUAGACUAAAAGUGGCGUGUUUUUAAAUAAUAAAAUUAUUAUGGAAUAUUGAUGCUUCAGACUGUUGAAAAAAGAAACUGAAUGAAUUUCUCCACAAGUUUCUUGGGAAACAAGAAACUGAAUAUCGGAUCUAACUAUAGCAGGAAUUGCCUUGUUAUAUAUACUUAACUACAGAGUUUUAAUUUUUUGAGUCUUAAAAUGAAUUGCUUCUUCUUAACACCUAUUUGACUCAGAAACUAAAGGUUGUAAUCAAAGUUCCAAAAAAAACA